rnacentral:rRNA from 1 species
ACGCUCGACACCUACGGGGGCAGCAGUGGGGAAUAUUGCACAAUGGAGGAAACUCUGAUGCAGCGAUGCCGCGUGAGGGAAGAAGGUUUUCGGAUUGUAAACCUCUGUCUUUGGGGACGAUAAUGACGGUACCCAAGGAGGAAGCUCCGGCUAACUACGUGCCAGCAGCCGACGGUAAUCUGAGGCGGGCUGGACGAAGGC